rnacentral:lncRNA from 1 species
UCUCCAUUCCAGCAACUGAUUAUUUGUUACAUCCAAUCUAUUACAAUCUCAAACCCUAAAUCUCUGUCGCUUAUGACUUUGAAGAUUUCAAGCUGGCCGAUUUCAUAUAUUGAUUUCAUAUGGAUCGUGACCAUUUCUUUUGGAUCAUCGGACGACGACUCGGGCGAUUCCUGAGGCUGAAGACAACAACGGCAAGAGGCACUCCAGCGGCGCGAUUAGGGUUUCGCUGUGAACCCUAACAACAGUGGCAGCGGCGCAUUUUAUUCUUGAAGAUUUGAUUUUUUCCAAUGUAUCAAACCGUUUGUGUUCUUCUAAUCCGUCUCUUGCUCUAAUUGUUUAUUUGUUUUUUUAUUUUCUUCAGGUGCAAUCCAAGUUAAGUUUGUGAAAAUUUAGUCAUAAAAUUAAGCAUCAAUUUUGUUAUUAGAGAAGGCUUGCAUUUGGCUUUAUUUCAUGUAUGGAAACAAGCUUUGUGAUGACAAAGUUCCUUAUCUGAUUCACCAUACAUAUACUAUUUGAAGUGAAAAGCUCCACCUUCAAGAUCGUUCAUAGCAUUCAAAACCUGGUAAGGACCGACAUUGGGUUCAGAUGACUGUGGUAUUGGGCUUUCUCGGCUUCAAUGACGCAGAUACUAGAGAGGCUGCCAGCAUUUGGUGAAUUUAGAUAAUUUAUUUUGUGGACAAAGCCAUCCCGGAAGAACCGAUAGAGUAUAUUUGAAGGUUUUGACUGCGUUGGCAGCUGCUGUGAUCACAUUUGGAUAUGUCUGCUUUGGCGGAUCUGAAUAAGUUUGAGGCGAAUUUAUUGGUGAAUUCGGUAUUGGAUUGGCUGCUUAGUUCGGUUCUGCUGCUCUCAGGUGACAUAAUGUGAAUCAGCGAUUGAAAUAGAAGUGAACACAUGACUAUGAUCAACCAAUCGAAUGGAUCACGAUCAAAGAAGGAAUUUCAAGACAGUGUUAUGAAAGCUAAGAAUCCGAACGAAGAGAUGAUCAAGAUAUGAAAAGAAAUAGUCGAUUUCAAUGUAAUGCCUCAUUGAAUAUAUUUUGUUACAGUCUUGAGAAUUUGCCAUAUCAUAUUGGAAAUUUUUAAUCAUUAUGCAUUUAUUUUGAUAUCAUUCAAUGGUCAGUUUCACUUGGUUUGUAU